GACGAACGCUGGCGGCGUGCUUAACACAUGCAAGUCGAACGGAAAGGCCCUGCUUUUGUGGUGUGCUCGAGGGGCGAAAGGGUGAGUAACACGUGAGAAACCUGCCCUUGACUUUGGGAUAACUUCAGGAAACUGGGGCUAAUACCGGAUAGGAGCUCCUGCUGCAUGGUGGGGGUUGGAAAGUUUCGGCGGUUGGGGAUGGACUCGAGGCUUAUCGGCUUGUUGGUGGGGUAGUGGCUUACCAAGGCUUUGACGGGUAGCCGGCCUGAGAGGGUGACCGGCCACAUUGCGACUGAGAUACGGCGCAGACUCAUACGGGACGCAGCAGUGGGGAAUAUUGCAGAAUGGCCGGAAGCCUGAUGCAGCAACGCCGCGUGCGGGAUGACGGCCUUCGGGUUGUAAACCGAUUUCGACUGUGCCGAAGCGUGCGUGACGGUAAUGGGUAAAGAAGCACCGGCUAACUACGUG
rnacentral:rRNA from 1 species